GGUUAAAGAAAGAGACUCCACGACCAAGGAGUUGCCCUGCCGGACAGCUCUCGUCCACCACGCGCUUUAUCAAUAGGAAGUCCUUCAGGCUGGACGAGCUGAGGACUUCCUUUGAGGAGAGGGUUGAGGAGCUGGCCCAGACUUUCAGUGAUACCCUGGAAGCCAAGUCCAAAAAGCGCUGGGAUUCUGGGCUUCAUCGUUUUCAGGCCCUCUGUAAGAAGACGUCCUCUUUGGGCGGAGACAUCCAUCACCCCAUUUCCCUGAGCAGGCAUGACGAGGAUCCAGACAAGCCGUACAGCACUCAAUGGCUGCUGGUGCUGUUGGGCAACCUCACAGAGGCAGCCAAGCAAAACAGGAAGCUGGCGCACGUGCUGGAGAAGCUGUGGCGCUUCGCAGACGAGCGACGGCUCAGGGUGCGGCCCCAGGUCUUCCUCAAGGUCCUGGGCAGCCUGCAGCCAUGGGAGCUGUGCCUGCCGGACCUGUGCGUGGCCAUAGAGGUGGUGCGGGAGCACGCGGUGAAGAUGAGCAGAGAGGACUACGACACCUGGCUACUCUCAAGGAUCUCUGGGCCCUGGGAGGCCCAAACCAGAGCAAAUAUCUCAUGACACACACACACACACACACACAUUACCUAUACGCACACUGACAGUCAGUGACGGACAAAUACGCACACAGACACACACACACCCUGUUUUGACAAUGCAUGGUUUGUCCAGGAAUGUUUUGGUUUGUGCUUUAACCUCGUUCUGUCUCUUCCUGUUUGGCUAAUUUUCUGGGUUUGAACGUAGUUGGUAUUGUGUCUAUUGUGCAUAUCUCACCUGCUAUUGUGUGGGCAUGUUGUGAGAAUAUUCAGUUGUGCUUUUGUCACACAGGUGUCCCUCCCUUUGACUGAGUUAUUGUGAGACUGGCGUCCCCACCCUGUUUCCCUCAGAUGGUAGCUUUCCCUAAUGUAGACCUGGCCUCAGUCAGCACACAUAUCUCAUUCAGUAUUGCUGCUGUGACAUUUGAGGUUUAUAAAAGAAGAAUUACCUUCAAUUUGCGUUAUUCAGGGUAAAAUUCAAACUUCAAUACAUGACAAUCCUCAAGCAGGCAGGUAUUCAGCUGCAGGAGAGGAGUGUCCGCUUUGACCUCCUUUCCACUGCAUUAAUGCAGUGGAAACUCUGUGUGUUGCUAGGCAGACUACAUGGCACCAGACUUGAACAUUGCGACUGUUGCAGCUCACCCACUUGCACAGUGAUAAACAAGUGGUGAUAAGCUUUGAUGCUGAACAUGUUUUGUGAAAGAGACAGUCUUGAUCACGUCAGAUUGGUCAGAAACGUUAGUGUUGUGAUCAACACAGUCCAAAGCAUGUUGAGUGUCCUGCUCAGACAAACACCAGAUGGGGGUCAUUAGUACUGUGCACACGUGCACCUUUCACUGCGUUUAUUUUCAUCAUACUUAUCAUCAGUCAACUCAACUGUACAGCCUGUCAAGUCACCGCAG
rnacentral:lncRNA from 1 species